rnacentral:tRNA from 1 species
GGGGAAGUGCUGGAACUGGCAGACAGGCGUGACUUAGGAUCACGUGCCGCGAGGCGUGCGGGUUCGAGUCCCGCCUUCCCCACCA